GGAAAAUGCCGUGCUGCACCUUAUCCCCAACUUCCCCGAUCUCGCUGUCAGCCCGCCCUGCCCAGCACGCCACCCGCUUGCCAUCCCCGACGCGCCGCUGCCCGUGCACCUUCCCGGCGCGCCGCCGGACCGCAUUCCCCAGCUCGCCACCGUCCCCACCUCCCUCCGGCGGCAGAAGCGCUACCGCCCCCAUCUCCCUCCCUGGCAGACGCACCUUCGCCCUCACCUCCCUCCCCGACAGACGCGUCGUCGUGACUCCACCUCCUAGAUGGGCCGCCGCGAGCCUCCACCUCCCGGCUUCCCGGCGCCGCCCCGUUUGCCUCCUCCCGUGGCCCCGCUCAAUCCAGCCCCGCCAGCUUCCCCAUGCAAGCCAACCAGGCCAGACGGCCACCCCCGCAAGCCCUCGGCCUUGGUGUUUUCUUGGUGGAGACUAGGAGCAGCGACAGAGAUGCCGCCCGAGGUGGAAUCCCUGCGUCCGCUUGGUUCCGUCCACGGCAGCACAUCACCUCUCCCCGUCAUCCACCUGCCAAUUUCAUGUCGACAGCUUCCAUUUUAGCCGUUGAAGCUUCAGAUGGAGCGCGACAUGCAGCAGUGUCGCCCCAACAGGCAUGCAACACCGACGACGGCAGGGUGUGGCGUGCGUCUGUCCGGCAUCCUGGGCGUCGUGCCGAGGGAGCUGCAUUUUCAAUUGGGUGGGGGUUAAAGUUCAGGUAAUGCUAUUGUCUGGUGGCAAAGGACCAUGCAGGCUGUUUCAUUACUGAAAAAACGUGUGACGAAAAGGAACAAGAUUUUUUUAAUGAACUCCUACUCUUAUUCUUUUCCCCUUCGACUUUCUCUUCCAUGGUUGUGUGCAUGCGUGUUAUGUGCGUGAGUAUGCUACAACAAUUUUCGCAGAAGAAGCAUUUUCAAUUGGGCAAAAUUAGUUGAUGGUAGUCAAAGUUCAGACAUUUGUAUUGGCGACAUUCAGUAAUUAUAGAAUGAGAAGUAGUGCCCUUCUUGAGGAGCAGUGUAGUGCUCGACAAUGGCCGUGAAGAGCUAAGUGUUGACUCUGUGUAGAUAUCUAUAUGAGGCGCAUACCCUGUGUUUGCUAAAGUGCCACCAUGAACAAGAAUAUUGCUUCCUUCAGUUUUAAGUACGUGUGGUCCUCUAUUUUUUAUUCUUCCGAGAAAUUCUUGAUGUGUUCUAUUUGCAAUGUAUUUCCUUGGUUCACUA